GGUUAAGCGACUAAGCGUACACGGUGGAUGCCCUGGCAGUCAGAGGCGAUGAAGGACGUGCUAAUCUGCGAAAAGCGUCGGUAAGGUGAUAUGAACCGUUAUAACCGGCGAUGUCCGAAUGGGGAAACCCAGUGCAAUUCGUUGCACUAUCGUUAACUGAAUACAUAGGUUAACGAGGCGAACCGGGGGAACUGAAACAUCUAAGUACCCCGAGGAAAAGAAAUCAACCGAGAUUCCCCCAGUAGCGGCGAGCGAACGGGGAGCAGCCCAGAGUCUGAAUCAGCUUGUGUGUUAGUGGAACGGUCUGGAAAGUCCGACGGUACAGGGUGAUAGUCCCGUACACCAAAAUGCACAGGCUGUGAACUCGAAGAGUAGGGCGGGACACGUGGUAUCCUGUCUGAAUAUGGGGGGACCAUCCUCCAAGGCUAAAUACUCCUGACUGACCGAUAGUGAACCAGUACCGUGAGGGAAAGGCGAAAAGAACCCCGGCGAGGGGAGUGAAAAAGAACCUGAAACCGUGUACGUACAAGCAGUGGGAGCACCUUCGGGUGUGACUGCGUACCUUUUGUAUAAUGGGUCAGCGACUUAUAUUCUGUAGCAAGGUUAACCGUAUAGGGGAGCCGCAGGGAAACCGAGUCUUAACUGGGCGUUAAGUUGCAGGGUAUAGACCCGAAACCCGGUGAUCUAGCCAUGGGCAGGUUGAAGGUUGGGUAACACUAACUGGAGGACCGAACCGACUAAUGUUGAAAAAUUAGCGGAUGACUUGUGGCUGGGGGUGAAAGGCCAAUCAAACCGGGAGAUAGCUGGUUCUCCCCGAAAGCUAUUUAGGUAGCGCCUCGUGAACUCAUCUUCGGGGGUAGAGCACUGUUUCGGCUAGGGGGUCAUCCCGACUUACCAACCCGAUGCAAACUACGAAUACCGAAGAAUGUUAUCACGGGAGACACACGGCGGGUGCUAACGUCCGUCGUGAAGAGGGAAACAACCCAGACCGCCAGCUAAGGUCCCAAAGUCAUGGUUAAGUGGGAAACGAUGUGGGAAGGCACAGACAGCCAGGAUGUUGGCUUAGAAGCAGCCAUCAUUUAAAGAAAGCGUAAUAGCUCACUGGUCGAGUCGGCCUGCGCGGAAGAUGUAACGGGGCUAAACCAUGCACCGAAGCUGCGGCAGCGACACUAUGUGUUGUUGGGUAGGGGAGCGUUCUGUAAGCCUGCGAAGGUGACCUGUGAGGGUUGCUGGAGGUAUCAGAAGUGCGAAUGCUGACAUAAGUAACGAUAAAGCGGGUGAAAAGCCCGCUCGCCGGAAGACCAAGGGUUCCUGUCCAACGUUAAUCGGGGCAGGGUGAGUCGACCCCUAAGGCGAGGCCGAAAGGCGUAGUCGAUGGGAAACAGGUUAAUAUUCCUGUACUUGGUGUUACUGCGAAGGGGGGACGGAGAAGGCUAUGUUAGCCGGGCGACGGUUGUCCCGGUUUAAGCAUGUAGGCUGGUUGUCCAGGCAAAUCCGGAUAAUCAAGGCUGAGGUGUGAUGACGAGGCACUACGGUGCUGAAGUAACAAAUGCCCUGCUUCCAGGAAAAGCCUCUAAGCAUCAGGUAACAU
rnacentral:rRNA from 1 species